rnacentral:sRNA from 1 species
GGAGCACAGAGUGGCCAGUAUGUGGGUGGGCAGGCCUGUCAUGGCAUCAGGACAGGUGCUGAACUUCAGUGUUCUCAUGUGAUGCUAACUCUGCUGUGUGGUUUUAGACUAUGUAUAGCCAGGACAGGCAUGUUGAUGUCCUCAAUCUCUGCUUUGCCCAGUUUGAGCCAGAUUCCACUGAGUAUAUCAAGGUGAGUAUAUUUUAGUUUCUAAAAUAUAGGCUUAAGUAUGGUUAUGAGUAAGAUUUUUAAUCUAGCUCAACGAAUUUGGUUGUAAGUUUUGAUACAGGGGAAAGGGAAGAGAAAUACCUGAAAAUCUAUGGAGUACAGAUGUGUGCCAGAUAUAUAUUUUAUAAUCACAACAACCCUUGAUUAAAGAUAAGGGAAUUUAAGCUUGUAGAGUUAAGUAGCUUGCUGAAAGUUGCGUAGCUACUAAGUGGUAGGGUUAGGACCCAAGUUUGAUGACAAAGCCUAUUCUCUUUUCAGUUUACCAUAUAGGAAUCAAAUUAUUUACUAAAAUUUUGCCGAAGUACAGUGUGUUUGUCUUACAGCUCAGUAAGUAUUCAUUAGUACCUUCUAUGUGUAAGGUAUUAUCUUGGGUAGUAUAGGUGAUGCCAUGAACUAGGAUAGAGUAUGCUGUGCCAAAGCCAGCAGUCCGGAUAUGGCUGUGGGGAAAGGUGCUAGUAAGUAUACAAAUAAUUAUCUCCUCAGGCCUAAAAUGCUAGACACUAAGAGAAGAUUACAAAUUCUUUGAAGAAAGCCUUCAUAGGGGUGUUAAGGAGGGUUCUAGAAGUGCAGGAAACGUUGUGGCAGGUGGAGCUGGGUGAGGUGUUUCAGGUAGAGAACAAUAUAAGCAACAGGCAGGAAAAAAGGAGGCUUGAGAAAUGGCCAGUGAUCUGGUUUGCUUGUAUAUGCCAUGUAUAUGUAGGGGAGUGAUUAAAGAUUAAGCUAGGAAGGUGGAUGUAGCCACAUCAUAGGUGACCUCAGGUGCUAGGCUGAGGAAUCUGGAAUUCAGUCAGCAGACCUUUGAAAGCCUUUUGAACAGAGGAAUGCCCCCAUCAGAACCUUCAUUUAGGAAGAUCAAUCUGGAAGGAGGACUGAAGGAUUUUAGUUGAUAAGAUGGAAUGGGCUAGCUGGUAGAAUAGGGUAGUUGAUGGGGGGAGGGAUAGGGGAAAGGGAGAGUAGUGAAAAAAUAUUCUUGAUUUCUUUUCUCCCAUAGUGACCAAGAAGUGGGUGCUACAUUAUUUCCAGUGGUCUCUAUAUGCAUAUUCGGUGCUUAAUAAAUUGUAGUUGGCCUGCCAAAAAGUACUUAAUAUGGCUAUAAAUGUUUGUUAUCUUGCUCCAGGCUGCCACAUACUUCUACAGUGGAGAAGGCACAGACUUGCUGUCAUUUAGACAAAUUCUUUUCUUUUUAUUUUUUUAAAGACAGGGUCUUAUUCUGUGGCCUACCAUGCCCAGCUAAUUUUUAAAAAAAUUUUCCUAGAGAUGAGGACUGCUCAAGCAGUCCUCCCACCUCAGCUUCCCGAGGUGUUGGGAUUAUAGGCAUGAACCACUGUGCCUGGCCAAAAUUCUUUCUUAAUAGAGUCCUCCUUCCCACCUAAGGUAGGUUGUACUAGGAAUGGUUUAAAUCAUACCAAUUGGUUAAUGAUACGGAGGCAACUGUAAGUAGACCUGGUUUUACUUGCUUGGGCAGCACUCAUGCUAAUCAGUGUACGUUGAAUAAUGCUGCAUACUUCUUUUUAUUUUCAUGUUUCUGAAGAGUUGCAUUUUAUGUGGAUAGGUUCAUCACAAGACCUAUGAAGAUAUAGAUAAACAUGGAAAAUAUGACCUUUUACGUUCAACGAGAUACUUUGGUGGAAUGGUGUGGUAUUUUGUAAAUAAUAAAAAGAUUGAUGGUUUGCUGAUUGACCAGAUUCAGAGAGAUUUAAUCGAUGAUGCAACCAACUUGGUCCAGCUGUAUCACAUGCUCCAUCCAGACGGCCAGUCGGCUCAAGAGGCCAAGGAUCAGGCUGCUGAGGGAAUAAAUUUAAUCAAGGUCUUUGCAAAAACAGAAGCACAGAAGGGAGCCUAUAUAGAACUAACACUGCAAACUUAUCAAGAAGCACUCAGUCGCCAUUCUGCAGCUUCCUAAAAGUAUUUUUAAAAUACAUUUAUUUUACUAAA